rnacentral:lncRNA from 1 species
AUGAUCCUGCUUCCUCAUUUGGACUCAUUCACCUCAGCUGACACAUUCAACAGCAGACAGGUUUUUGUAGCAGUCUGUUUCACUGUGGGAGGAUAUGGCUACUACAUCUUUGGCUCUGGAACUAAACUGUCUGUAACAGAUGAGCAGGUAGUGAAGCCCGUGGUGAGCGUGUACCCAGCAGCAUCCAGAGCCCACCUGGAGGGGAACAGCUCCCUGCUGUGUGUGGCCUCAGCCAUGUUUCCUCCUCUGGUCCAGUUCUCCUGGAAAAGACAGAAGAAGAACGGCGGAGAAGCGGAGGAGCUGCCCCUGCUGAGGGAGAGCAGCUGGAGCUCAGAGAGUCGGGACGCACCAUUGCCAUCAGGAUGGUUGAUGGGAGUGAUUCUGACACAUAUAAAUACAGCUGCUGGGUGAAGCACGAGGGGGGCACAGUGGAGGCCCAAACACAACAAGGUAAUGAAGGCUUGGUGACUGUGUUCAGCAGUGAUUCAGCUUCAUGUGGAGAUGCUGUCAAAGAGAGCAGAGGAGCAGAGGACUGACAUUUAUCACUGCAGCUCCAAACAUUUGACUCCUUUUCUGUUUCAGAGGUUCCAGCUCCAGCAGCCUCCUGUCCUCCAGAGAGAGAGCCAGCAGACCUGCCAGCUCUGCAGCCAGCUGACUGUAAGAUCACCUGCUGCCUCUCUGCAUGGACAGCUCCAAUGUCCAAUGAGGGAGCUGGAACAAGUUUAGGGACUUAAAGUUGCACUAAUUGAUCAAAUCUUCAUCCAACAAGCUCUGAUAAAGCCACUGUACACUAGCUGCUCAGCACCAAACAGCAGACAGACCAUAAUAUGUCAGAGAUCAGUUUGUUAGCUGCUUGUGGAGUUCUUCUGCCCCCAAGUGGACACAAACACUACAUCAAUUCAUCCACUUGAAGAAGAAGCUGUGACUGUUUCUAUUUGGACUUUUUCUCCUUGAUCUGAGAGGAAUAACCCGACUGUCUGUCUGUCUCUUUGUGUCUGUCUGUCCUUCAGUGUCCUUCCAGUCUCAGUGCAGGGUGAAGCUGCUCUGCCUGCUGUACACAGUGCUGAUAGUGAAGAGUCUGGUGUACUGCUGUGGACUCUCGCUGCUGAUGAUCCUCACAAACAAGGGACCGUCCACCAACUGCACACAUGCUGACUGACUGUUUUCUGCUCGCCUUUUCUCACCAUCAAAUCUCAUCAAUUCAUCUCAUUCAUCACUUUGAUCAGUAUCACAAAUGUUAGUUAUGAUGUGUUGUGCUUAUUUUGGCUUUUUAUUCAAUAGUUAGAAGAUCAUCUGAAAUAAAUACAUCUUUACAUGUAUUGUUACUCUGAGUUAGAAUUCUUUUUGUACUUAUUGUGAUUUUUAUUGUAGUAACAAAAAUCAUCAGGUAUAUUUUUAUCACAAGUUUUCUGUUUGAUUUGCUUUUGGUUGAUUUUCAAAUGUCAAACAGUGUAGUUGUGUUUGUAAGUGUGAAUAAUAAAGAUUUCAAGAUGAAGAAUUUGAUUCUACUUUCAUUGUGUGAUAAACAACAACCCGUGUGAGUGAAGCACAAACUGACUGUAUCCAAACUUGCUCUCCUGCAGCAGACGGGCUGUGUGGGUUUCUGCUCUGCAGCCUCCACACCGUUAGCUGUGGCUUUUCACUUUAAUAACACAAUGACAGUUACAAGCAUGAACUCUGCUUAAAGAAUGAUUGAAUAGUCAUAAAAG